rnacentral:rRNA from 1 species
CAGUAGCCACGGGAAUACGGAGGGAGCUAGCGUUGUUCGGAAUUACUGGGCGUAAAGCGCGCGUAGGCGGUUACUCAAGUCAGAGGUGAAAGCCCGGGGCUCAACCCCGGAACUGCCUUUGAAACUAGGUGACUAGAAUCUUGGAGAGGUCAGUGGAAUUCCGAGUGUAGAGGUGAAAUUCGUAGAUAUUCGGAAGAACACCAGUGGCGAAGGCGACUGACUGGACAAGUAUUGACGCUGAGGUGCGAAAGCGUGGGGAGCAAACAGGAUUAGAUACCCGCGUAGUCCCUGUCUCUUAUAA